CACCUCUGCUGCUACUGGUGGUUGUGAUCUUUGGUACUUCCUGACAUGCUUGGAAAUGACAAUCUGGUUGAGAUUGACUGCUGAAGUUGCUUCCUUUUCUGGUAUAGAUUCCAGCUGAGAUGCUGGUGGUGGUGAUGGAAGAGCUUGCAUCAUUUUUCAGACAGUGGGGGAUAUAAAUGAAGAGAUAAGAGAAUGGAGAAAGUU
rnacentral:lncRNA from 1 species